UGACAAAGAUGAUGUCGUUGGU
rnacentral:siRNA from 1 species